rnacentral:lncRNA from 1 species
UGCUUAUACAACUUAAAUGUGCAAUCCAUGCCAUGCAGCAUCAGCCUGACUCUGACAACGUGCCACAGUUGCAGAGCCUGCUCCCAAACCCAGGCUAUUCCAUAUUGGCUAUUUAGAUGUCUAAAGUAUAUUUAAUUAACAAAAAAAAAAAUUAAACGGACAAGUGGCUGCUUACCUGGGAAUACCCUGUGCUUGCAGAGACCUGCAGUUUAAGUGGGACCUCAUAAUUUGUUGCAAUUUAUUUCUUUCAUGACUUGAUCAUUUGUAGGCAAGUACAAAAAGGGCUAAUUUCUUUUCUUUCUUCAUCUGCAACAUAAUGAUGUUGCAUACAACAAAAGCAGCAUUUCUACUGCGUACAAUGAGCAGAGCAGGAAGACCCAGAAGCCUUUCUGUGUGCAGGGCUCAGCUGUCAGGGAAGCAAGACAAGAUGUGAAUUAUGUUUGUUAUUCUCUCCCUUAUGGUCUCUACUCGACCUGGCUCAUCCUCUUUAUAAGACGCUGCUGUUAGAGUAGGAUGUCACUUCAGUUCCUGUUCACAAGUGGCUGGUUUUUUUCCAUGACAUAAGGACAGAUAAUUUGGAGGUAACUGGCUAAGGCUUCUAGCAAAACCACUGUGCUCUUUCUAUUUCUGUACAAGUUUCCAGGUAAAUUUUUCAGUGCAGGAUUCUGCUAUUGUCUCACACCAGUUCCUGUAGUCCUGGGUUGAAAUGCUUUUUUCUGACUUCAUUCCACCUGGGAAAGCAUGGGUUGACUUAGCAGUACUCACACCUGUCAUGCACCUCUCUUUCCAAGGUUCCCUUUUUCUACACUCAGUGCUGUGUGCUCUGAAUACAUUGCAAUGAAGGACCAGAAGCUGCCCAGGAUCACAAAGCAACACCCUUUCAUUACUCAGAGAACUCCUCAAGAGGAGCAUGCAAUUUUGCAAAUAUUCAGUCCCUUUGGUCUGUCCUGACACAGGAAAAGCUAACAUGGAACUUCUUGUGUGCACUGGAGGAUUUGGAAGUGGAGUGAUCUUGAGUCAGUGUUGGGAGAUAGAGGUAAGAGAUGAUACUUAAAGCUAGCAAUACACCUUUCUGUUCAACUGCAGUCCUAGUGCAGCAUCAGAAGAUGCUGAUAAAAGGGGGGAAAAAAGCAAGGGUGUUGAUUUUUGACCAUCAGUUAAGACUCUUUCCAGGAAAUUGAACAUAUUCAAUAAUAUACACUUUUGUAGAUGGUUCAAGUGUGUUGAAUUAUGUUGGGCUUUGUUAGUGGUAAAAAAAUACCUUCUUGAUCCUUUGUUACCUUGUUCUCACUGUAAUUUGAAACUUUUUCACUAAAGCUCACAUGAUAAUUUUGAAGCAUUUAGACAGCUUUAUUUCAAGUUGCUAUUUUCAAUGUCAGUAGGAGGAUAUAAAGUUCGUGACUGAUGCAUAACUCUUAGGGUGAUGCACCAGAAACAUGUCAAGAAGGCCAGCUGUAGAGAUAACUUCCUGCUUAUACUUCACAUGCCACAUAGUUUUCUG